UACGGAGGGUGCAAGCGUUGUUCGGAUUUACUGGGCGUAAAGCGCGCGCAGGUGGGUGUGCAAGUCGGAAGUGAAAUCUCGAGGCUCAACCUCGAGGCUGCUCCCGAAACUGCUCGCCUAGGAACUGGUAGAGGCUGGUAGAAUUCCCGGUGUAGCGGUGGAAUGCGUAGAGAUCGGGAAGAAUACCUGUGGCGAAGGCGGCCAGCUGGGCCAGAUCCGACACUGAGGCGCGAAAGCGUGGGGAGCAAACAGG
rnacentral:rRNA from 1 species